AGUAAAAGUCGUAACAAGGUUUCCGUAGGGGAACCUGCGGAAGGAUCACUAGUGAUUAAACUGAGAUCGCACUAGGCUUAAAAACCCUAAGGCGUCUCAACCCUUCACAUCCACAUACACCUGUGCACUGUUAUGGUUGUAGAUCGUUAAUCGCGAGCCUUUUGGUAACGAAAGGUCAGCUUUUAAUGAACUCGCCAUCAUUUUUAUACAAUAACUCAAGUCUUAUGAAUGUAAACGUUUUAUAAUAAACUAAUAAAACUUUCAACAACGGAUCUCUUGGCUCUCGCAUCGAUGAAGAACGCAGCGAAAUGCGAUAAGUAAUGUGAAUUGCAGAAUUCAGUGAAUCAUCGAAUCUUUGAACGCACCUUGCGCUCCUUGGUAUUCCGAGGAGCAUGCCUGUUUGAGUGUCAUGAAACUCUCAAUCUUAACUAUUUUUUCACGAAGGUAGUUUUGUAUUGGACUUGAGCGCUGCUGGUCUAAUCGAUCGGCUCGUUCGAAAUAUAUUAGCUGGACCCUUAUUGAACUUGGUUCCACUUGACGUGAUAAGUAUUUCGUCAAGGACAUCUUUAUUGAUGGCCAUAAUCAAUCUGUUGAUCUGCUUCUAAUCGUCUUUACUUUAUCGUAAACACCUUUUAUGAUCUGGCCUCAAAUCAGGUAGGACUACCCGCUGAACUUAAGCAUAUCAAUAAGCGGAGGA
rnacentral:rRNA from 1 species